AGCUGGCAGACGAGUCCCAAAUAAGACGAAAUGCGCGUUCUGUCU
rnacentral:hammerhead_ribozyme from 1 species